GGGGGGGAGUGAGCGAGCGGCUGUGUGGUUCUGAGUUACCGGCUGGGCUCAAACCACGACAGAAUCUUACUGGGAUCCUGAGAAAUAUUGUAAGGAAAGACAUCAUGGCCUGAUAAUUGCAGUGUAGCUUCAAAGGUUGUCUACAAAUUAACAUCUGCAGGGGAGGAUAUCUGUUGCCAGAAGUCACAAGCCUCCAGUGUAUAUUACAAGCCUCCAGUAUCUACUAAGAUAGAUACAUCUUGAUCUUUCAGGAACUAUCAUCUCACUCAGGGAAGAAAGGAAUAAUUGGCAUUAUCUGCCAAUAAUUGUGACCAUUAUAGUUUUUUGAGCAUGAAAUCUUACAAAAAUAAUUAGAGACAGUAUGAGAUUUCACUGUUACUAACUUCAAACGCUGCUUCUAUCUCAAACCUGAAUCAUAGAAUCAUAGAAUAGUUAGGGUUGGAAAGGAGCUUAAGAUCAUCUAGUUCCAACCCCCCUGCCAUGGGGUUGCACUAAACCAUGUCACCCAAGGCUCUGUCCAACCUGGCCUUAAACACUGCCAGGGAUGGAGCAUUCACAACUUCCUUGGGCAACCCAUUCCAGUGCCUCACCACCCUCACAGUAAAGAACUUCUUCCUUAUAUCUAACCUAAAUUUCCCCUGUUUAAGUUUGAAGUCAUAAUGGGUUCUAGUCUAAAUUUAACUUGACUGGUCACUACAGAUCUCUGAUUUAGCACACAAUAAUUUUUCCACCUAUCAUACGAGCAAAUGAUACCUGUUGGUGCCAGUCACAUUCAUCACAUUUGAUGUUAAUCAUAAAACACUGUAUAACUCUUUAAAGUGCAGUUAAUCAUCAAUAUUUUGUUCACACAUUCAGUGUUGAGUAUUUUUUAAUUUAUCUAGAAUGAGGUAAUUUAUUUCAAGUACAGUAAAAAAAACCUAAAACUGAAAAUAAUUAUUGUGACAUGACAAAUGUAGUGUUACAGUAAUUAAAUAUUAAUAAUCAUGGUACAUUGUAGAAACAUAAUAUGUACCAUACUGCAGCACUGGAAGUUUAGAGGCCAUCUUUUUUUGUGUGUGCGUGACACUGAAUUGUACUGACGGUAUCUGGAUAUAUUGUAGAAAUGUAAUUUCUUGGUUAUUCUAGUUUGAUGGUAGAAGAUGCAGAGAUAUCGGUUCAGCAAUAUACUCCAAGCUUUCUCACUCUCCUCAAACAACCAUGACCUGGAAUCAUCCUGAAGGUGACAUUUACUGUCUUGAAAGAGAAGACACACUUUUUAGUACACUCAAACUACUUUACUACCUACGAAGAGUCAUACUGUUAAAGUGACCUUUGUUCUCUUCUGGUUCUUGUAGAUAGAGAAAAGGAUUAAUGCCAUUUUGGGCUGCUUUGUGUCUCUCUGUGUAUGUGCUGGGCAGAGGCAAUAAAAAUGCAAGACAGAAACAUCUAAGUAGAUGAGUAAGCCCUUCAGGCCAAGCAUGGGUUCUGCUCCUUAUUCUAAAUAUUAUUUUUCUUUUCAUCUAGUCAAAACAAAAUAUGAAAUGCCUACCUGGAGCUAAACUGAAGUCCUAGUGCUAGCCACAUGAGAGGUUUGCUCCCCUCAAAAAAAAAAAAAAAGAAAAAAAGAACCCAUCUUUUUGUCUACUGCCCUUUUGAUUGACUAUUGCUUGAGUGGCCACACUGUGGUUCAGAAGAGGAUGCACUGACCAAAGGUUUUUGUUUUCCCCUUUGCUUUCAGUCUGGGGUGGGGGUUUGUAUUUGUUUGAUCUGUGGAAAAGUUGCAUUCAGUCACUUCAAAGUAAGAAAAUCCUAGGAGGCUUCAUGUGGCCCCAUAUUGGAUUACAUUAGAAAUAACGACUACAGUAGAGCUUGUUCAGGGGAGGGUCAAACAAGUUGCAUCCUAUGGGAGGAAUGGUAUUUAUCACUUCCCACUGAUUCUCUACAUCCCUAUAGAACAGGCACAUGGCUAUCUUAAGCAAACUCUUCCACCAUUCAGAAAUUCAUUUUUCUCUUUAUUGGCCUUCAAGGGAAAGUGACCCCUCCCACUUUAGAUUAUUAAAAUUUGAGCUUUAAAAUGAGCACAUUGUAAUAUUCAGUGUAUAUAACUAAAAACUAAGAUUAAAGACUAGAAAGAUAUCAAGAUAAGUGCAAAAUUCAUAGAAAGACAGAAAUAUAAAUUAUUGAGCUGAAAAUGUUUUUGCAGAUAAGUUAACAUGAAAUGGAAUGACCCUGAAAUGUGACUGCUAAAAGAGUAAACUAUGACCUGUGUUUGAAAAGGCUGUCUUUCUUUCUCAGAUUUGCUUUUUAUUCUCUCUGUUACACCAGUAUAAACAUGUAGCACUCAGUAGUACUAACCCACUAACUAAUGGCAACAUUUAUUUUUCUAAAUUUGUUUCUGAUAACUACUACAUACUAUGCUUAUUUUUGGUAUUUUGUAUAUUACCAGCUGGUUUGAAAUUUUGAGGUGUUAGAUAGUACCUGAAUCUACAAAAUUAAUGUGCAAUAGUAGUAGAGAGAGACAUUUUAGAACCAGAGUGGGCCAUUGUCCGGCUUGUUUCUAUGUAGUAAUGUAUUACAGCACUAAGAAGUUCUCAAAAUUCGCUUAGCUAAGAAAAACAGAAGGUAGCUUUGCACCAGAAAUUAUUGUACAGGAAACAGAAAGAUAACCUGUAUGUCUGUAACAUGACGAUUUUUCUAAUGAUGUGGUUCUGAUUUUUAAAGUUAGAUGCACAAAAUCCCUGUCAUAAUUGUUAAUUUUCAAAAGAUUUAUUUUUAAAAACCAUUUCUAGUAAGUCAUAUAGGGUUUGGUUAAUACUAAUGAUCAGAGCAUUAGUUGACUAAUGUAUUUUCCUGAAAAAAUAUAUCAGAAAACUAAAAGUUAGGUCUGAGUUUCAAAUAACAAAUAAUUACAUCAUAAUGCUGUAAGCCAGACAGUGAAGAAACAAGUCAUGGAAAAUUACAGAUUACUUCUCAUGUUUUUCAAGGUAACUGGCCAAUAAAUUACUAGCGUAUUCAAUACUUUUAGGAAAUAAAAAUUCCCAUAUGGCUUCCAACUUCACAUAAUGCUCCCAAAUCUGGUGCAUCUACAGUAGCUCCUACAAAUAUAUCAUAAAUCAUUUGAGGUUGAGCAUUGAUGUAAUCAUGGUAAAAUAGGAUUGUUAAAACCUCCGCAGCUAUGUGGGAACUGAAAAGUGGAAUUUAUACUUGAGAAUGUAAUGAGAGUUGACACCUAUUUGUGACAUGACUGUACCAUAGAUUGCCUGCAGCAUGAUAGCAUCACCAUUUCUAGCAGGCAAAGAGGUAUUUGCUGAAGGUGAAAAUGUCAUUUAAACAGUUGAUACAUUUCAAAUAAUGUAAGCUAGAUGCCUUGUACAGUUCUUGCCUUUUCAAAAUAAAUAUACACAACUUGAAAUUCUGCAUAAAGAAA